UAUGACACUUAAGCAUAGGUGGACCAUCCAAGACCAUCGGAUCCAGCUAUGAUAAGUGGAAUAGU
rnacentral:pre_miRNA from 1 species